rnacentral:rRNA from 1 species
ACAGAGGUGGCAAGCGUUGUUCGGAUUUAUUGGGCGUAAAGGGUCCGUAGGCGGCCUAGAAAGUCGGAUGUGAAAUCCCACAGCUCAACUGUGGAACUGCAUUCGAAACUUCUAGGCUCGAGUGUGAUAGGGGUAAAGGGAAUUCCCGGUGUAAGGGUGAAAUCUGCUAAGAUCGGGAGGAACACCUGUGGCGAAGGCGCGUAACUGGAUCGAUACUGACGCGGAGUGACGAAAGCCAGGGGAGCAAACGG